CUACAUGCACUGAUAAACCGGGAAGAGUUUGCGGUUCUUGUGGUUUGCACUAGGAUACAAAAAUGAAGAAUCCUAUGCUUUCUGCCUGUCUUUGUGGUAGCCCAGAUUGAACUGGGGAAGCACACCA